UACGUAGGGUGCGAGCGUUGUCCGGAAUUAUUGGGCGUAAAGAGCUCGUGGCGGUUUGUCGCGUCGACUGUGAAAACCCGAGGCUUAACCUCGGGCCUGCAGUCGAUACGGGCAGACUAGAGUUCGGUAGGGGAGACUGGAAUUCCAGGUGUAGCGGUGGAAAUGCGUAGAUAUCUGGAGGAACACCGGUGGCGAAGGCGGCAUCCUGGACCAACAUUGACGCUGAGGAGCGAAAGCCAGGGGAGCAAAGCGGG
rnacentral:rRNA from 1 species